GGCGACUUGCCCGAGCGGUCCAAGGGGUCAGGUUUAGGCCCUGAUAUGUUAGCAUGCGAGGGUUCGAACCCCUCAGUCGUCA